GUCCUUGUAGUAUAAACCAUUACUCUGGUCUUGUAAACCAGAAAUGGAGAACAUCUGCUCCCAAGGACA
rnacentral:tRNA from 2 species